ensembl:lncRNA
AUGGUACAAACGCCGGUAGUUUGUGGUAGCAGUAUUCUACGAGAAGUGGCAGUGAGUGUGAUGAUCACUUCAGAGUCAGGCUCCAUCUACCCCACGACGGACGUCCUUCACCAGGCAGGUCCUUCACCAGACAGGGCCUCCACCAGCUCCUCCACCAGGCAGGGCCUUCAGCACGGCUCCUCCACCAGGCAGGGCCUCCAUCAGCUCCUCCACCAGGCAGGGCCUUCAGCACGGCUCCUCCACCAGGCAGGGCCUCCACCAGCUCCUCCACCAGGCAGGGCCUUCAGCACGACACCUCCAUCAGCUCCUUCAGCACGGCUCCUCCAUCAGCUCCUCCAUCGGCUCCUUCAGCACGGCUCCUCCAUCAGCUCCUUCAGCCAUGGAUUCUUGGUCUGGUUACAAACAGUUGGUCUCAGCAGUAAAUCACCUGGGGACGCAACACACCCCACCUCCUGCAUCUGAGGUUCACUUGUAAAAUUGAAGUCAAAUUUAAACACUUAAAUUAGACAACGUCUGCAGAAUGUCACGUUCAGCAAUUCAUCCACUACGGUCGUAGCAGCACUAGUAACAUUAAUGGCUAUUAUUACUACAAUAAUUUAGAGGAAUAAGAUGAUCAAAACCAGACCUAAACUACCGUGGAUUUUAGUGUUUCAGAUGAGCUUGGUGAUGGUUACCCUCUGGUCCGGUGCUGCAGGCCCCUGGUCUCCAGCCUCAGUCUCCGGUCCAUCCUGCCACCACAAGCCUCCGGUCUCCAGCCUCUCAGCCUCGCCUUUCAGCUACAGCAGGAGGUUUAGAUCAGCAUUUGCCCAACAAUAAACUUAAUUGACUCAUCCGAAACCAAGUUACACGAUUAAUUUAACUAUUAUUUUAUAACUCAAGGCUAGAAAAGACUUGAGACCAGACAUGAGCAUGCCGUUUUUGGGAAUGAAGACAGAGCAGUCCAUAAGUUUAAAGAAGUGGUUCAGCCCAAGCAUUGAAACUGACCUGAGAAGACUCUACUCACAGAGCACUGACCUGUUCUGGAGGACUUCUGACAGGAGGUGGAGGUCUGGCUCUGGGUGAGGAGGUGGAGGUCUGGCUCUGGGUGAGGAGGUGGAGGUCUGGCCCUGGGUGAGGAGGUGGAGGUCUGGCUCUGGGUGAGGAGGCAGACACCUUGGGAGAAACUACACGUUACCUUUUUAACCUUGUACAGUUCUAUAGUAUCUUCUACUGUAACAUGUGGGAAGGACGGCCAUUAUUUUAGCUUUGAUAUUAUCCAGUUGGUAACUCUGCACCAAAGUCGUUGUUUAGCGUCAUUCCAUUUGGUAGGGUUUAACUUCUGUGGCAAUUAAUGACAGCAGAUUUUUAGAACGUACAAAAGCUGAAGUAACGAAGAACACUAAGCAGUAUCGAUAUUAAAUUAAAUAUACUCAGCCAUAUUUAGGUGCUGGGUUCCGUUGAAGAAAUGUCAAAUUGUCUUCCACCUUGAAACGAUUUUCAGCCUUCUCCGAUGUCAAAAAUGGGCCCCAAAUAGAACGCCGUUUUGUACGCAGCGAGAGUCCGGUCACGUCAUUGUGGUUAAAAGUACGGCGCAACCAUCGGAAAUUAUCAACAUAUUGUACGACGUACGUGUCUGUCAGUAUGUAUUAAAUAUCAAAGUUAAGUUGUUUAAGAUACGGGGAAACAAUUCCCGAUGGAAACGACUGAAAAAAAAAAUUCCGUUGGCAACGGCUCAAGGUUACGCAAAUACAAUCGAGAACGUUCUGCCAGAUUCCCUCAGGGGACUCCCGUCCAACUAACUGCCAGGUGGUUUCUUAUGGUCGUCAAGACUACAACGUUCUAUGCUAACCAUUGGGACUAAAUCAAGUGACCCCACUCAGAACCUUCCACGGCGGGAAGCACAAACCGUCCGACCGGAAUCCGAACAUUCCGGCCGGAACCAACCAAAGAAAAAACAGAACCAGCGCCUCACCUUGAGUUGAGCGGAGGAAGAUCCUGAAGUCCCGCGAUGAUCUUCAUUAAAACACAGCCAACAGACUUACCUUGAGGAGAUCUGUUUGUUGCUGUUGGUCAUUACUACUAUUCAAUGUACCUUUACAUUAUUAUGCACCCAGUGUGUACAAGUUAUCACUCAAAAACGUAAGAAGAACCAAAACUACCAUGUACGUCCCACAACAACUUUAAAGCUAAAAUCAUUCAAUACAAAACGGUGUCUACAUUUUACAAUUAUCUAGAUUAUUCAGGGUACAAACCAUACAGAGCAAAUCUAAACGUUGAGCUCACAGAGAGCCGACCAUAGCCCUGCAACGUCACCCUGACUGACACAUCACCAACAGCAAAUCAUGCCAGCCAGCCAACACAUGUACAGGUCCAGUGAGAAGUUGGCAUCUGAGCGAAAGGACUGCCCAUAAUAAAAAGAAGCCCAAUUCCUGAACUAUCCAACCAUCCUCAUGGUUUAAAGAUUUACAGACUUUACAUGCCAUUGUGUUCUAAUCACCUUCGUCUGCUCCCUCGUUACUUAUAAAAUUCUACAUCUCCAUCACUAGAGCGUUGCAUCCUACUCAUUGGGGUGCGGUCUGAGUGAGCAGAGAUGCAUGCUGGGAUACAGUGCUGUCUGAAGUCUUCAGUUCUAUAGACACGCCCCUCAGGAGAAACCAAGUGUUUGAGAAUCUGUCGUGACAUCAGUUACAUGAGCAGGAUUAUCCUUCAAGAUGGCGCCAGGAUUCUCAGAGGAGAAAGGCCAAGAGGAAGAUGUGAGGGUUCUUCCUCUCAGCCAGUGGAACACAACAACGGUCUUUAUCAGAGUACCAUGGAACACUUUGAAACAUCCUCCUCUUUACACCUUGAAGCCUCAGUGAGGGUUUCCUUACCUCCUCAGCUGAAGAGCACAACUUCAGCUCGAAGAGGGCACUAGCUGGAGUUCCCGGAUUGGUUCUGAUUUAAGGGAACAAAUCAUUCAGCUAGUCCUGUCCGAAACAAAUACGGUUCAGCCUGAGUAGACGUGCAACUGAGAAAAAGACAAGAUCCACAGGGCUCUCCAUCAAUCCAGCCAGGUAGGAAGAGCCAUCUCAUUACAGGUCUGAAGGUCAUCUUGAAUAUCCAUUUAGGUCCCUUUCCAACGUCAGUCUCCUUUUGGAAUUCCUUUAGGUGUCCAUCCUCCAUUGAUCCUGAUUGGUGAAGUCCUAGUGUGAAGUCACUGAUCUGAACACGCCGCUUGCAUCCUUUUGCACUUGAGUUGGAUACUCUCCUUCCUGCCCAGUGUGUUGGAUAUUGCUCCGCAGCGUCGCUCUGGGCUCUUCAUGUCUACUGGAUGCCUUUAAGUAAACGUGUGGCCGUCCAUCAGGUAUGAUUUAUUUGACCAUUCCGAUAUCCCAAGCCAAUCACACAGACCUCCGUAUGAACAUUAUCACUGUCAAAGCAAGCCGGACACACACACACACACAUAGAUCCAAGGAUUCACACGUAGAACCCCAUACCAGGUGUGAGUGGGAGACACACACACACACACACACACACAGUAGAACCCUAGGGAUGCACAAAAAUCAUCCAUCUCAUGUCAAACCCAAACACACACACCACCGAGCCAUAAAAGGCCAAACAAUCAUGCAGGGUAAAAACCUCAUGCCAAACAACGUUCCAUCAUCCAACCCCAGCUCUCCUGCCAGGGCACCCAGAACAGAACAACCAAUGUCUCCAGAGACGUAAAUUAUGUACAACAUUCUUCAGUGGCGUCCCACAUUGGUGAUGGAUUAUGCUUGGCGUCUCCAAAAUGUCUCCAAGGUUGAUUCGACUUCUAUGAAGUCAUGUCUUUGUAGUCCAGUGGUUUCCUGAAUGAGGAGCAUUCACAGAUGCAAGCGGUUUUGCUUUAGUCAGCCUGAGGACAGGAAGGAGGUCAUCUGUUCAGAAGACCACCCAGUGGAGGGGGGUGGCUCUUGAGGAGCAGGAUCCAUCUGGGGAUGGCCCCAAAUAAGACCUUCUUGGUAAUGACACUGCUCCUGAGGAGUCAGGAUGCCUGGAGGGGACUGUUGAAUGUGUUCCAUGGUUAGGUAUCAGACUGAAGUUGUGUUUUUGUCGUUGAGAUGAGGAGUCCCCUCAUCUCCCCCUGGUGUUUCUCCUUCUGAAUCCCUGUCUCCAUCUUAAAAGAACAUUCUAGUCCAUGUAACUGACAUCACGACGGUUUCUCAAACACUUGGUUUCCCCUGAGGAGGCGUGUCUACAGACCUGUAGACUUCAGACAGCUCUGUAUCCCAGUAUGCACCUCUGCUCACUCAGACCACACCCUCAUCAGUGACGCAACCCUCAUGUGAUGAAGAUGCAGAGCUCAGGAGUGUAGCUGGAAAGAAGACUGAAGACAUCAGAACCCAAACCAUUACUCCAGCUUACAACAAUAAAUUGGAGCCUGUAACCAUUUUAACAAAUCAUUAAAACCAAUAUAAACCAAACACCUAAGUAACUCAUGAACCAAUAAAACAUCCUUACUACUCAGAUCAACCUUCAGGUAACGGGUUAACUCACCAGGAAGCCAAAAUACAUCAAUGUGCCCAAGAGUAAUGAGAAACAUGUGACUUACAGUUUGCAGUUCAUCUUGAUGGUUAAGUUGGGAUACUCACAGAGCUGCAGUUAAAUAUCCAUGAUAGACCUUUGAAGGAAGGAACAGUUUACACAUGGUCCCCAAACUUGGGCACUGUCCCACAGUUCAACAUCUACCAUCUCCAUUAAAUCAGAUAAAUGAAUGACAAUACAAAUUAAGGGCUUCUGGGAUCAUCCAACUUUUAAAUAAUGAUUAAGAUAAUUAACUAAUCCAGCUUUUUAAUAUAAAUUGUACUAAUUAUUUGACUGUCAUUACUCAAGAGUGAUUUAGCUCCAACUUUGAAUGUAU